UGGAGUGAUAUGAAGGUGUGUCCAUCCACAUGUAAAAGCACACCAGAGUCAGGAGUUACUGUUCAAGGGUUGAUAGAGGACAGGAACCCGAUUGGUUGAAAGGCGAGAAAGGAGAGACCAGAUAAGAGUGAGACAACCCUCGUGUCAUCACCAUAUGCAAAUGAGUAAAGGUCAUUAAAGCGCUGAGGGAAGGGGGUAAUCCGACAGAACUCUCGGAGGGACGCUGGACAGAACGGAGACACCGAGCCUGCAGUCAAAUAAAGAGGAAGCAAAGACGACAGGGAAGGUGUCAAGCGAGUGUAAUUAAGCUGGGUGUUAACACCUACUUCAAGGGGACUCGAAAACAAGUGACCUUAAGGAAUCAUCCGGAAAUUUCUCACACUAAGACUCCCGAGAUCUUAAAUUGUCUUCUGGACAGGAUAUCAUCAUAUACUGUAAGUUCAUUAUGGAGACACUACAGUAUAGAUGAUGUACUAUCCAGGGCGGCAUUCCUCCUCCUGUGGGAUAACACACACACACACACACACUGUCUCUGUGAAUGAGGGAGGCGGUUAAACCGUUACCAUUACUGAGUUUAGUAAUGGUAAGGGUUCUCUUGCCUUUUCUCACUGGCGUCGACCAUCAGAACCACCAAAUGGAAUUAACUUCAGUAUGAAUGUUUUCCUAAAUGUACUGCAUUGUACUAAUUUCUUCUUGAUUUCCUACAUAUAUAUUUAUUGCAAAACAACACGUCCUUAUAUAAUGACGAUAAAGUUAUCCCUGUUAAUCUAUGCCGGAAAUUAAGCAUUUAUAAAACUCUUUUGAUUUGCA